rnacentral:lncRNA from 1 species
CCAACUUUGGUACUACAUUUGCCUAAUCACUAAUAAACUGCAUAGGGAGUAAUUAACCCGAGGAAAUUUAAUCAACCCCCGGGCCAGUGCUCCUCAUGAGUGUUGGUCCAAACUAGAGCCGUUUGCGGGGCCAACCCGGGGCAACUCGGGAGAUUUCUAUCAGGCCAUCGUACGCUGUGCUUAUCCGUCGUGUCCUAAGAACGAGGUACGCGACUCCUAUCGGGAUCGUCGACACGUCGGGCGGCCUUGCUGGAUUAGUUUUACCUUUGACGAGAUAUCUUGUGCAUCGGGAUUCCGGUGAUGCUUUGGGUAAUCUUAGAGUUGAGGUUUUCCACUAGGGAAUCCGACGAGAUCGCGAGCUUCGUGAUUGAGGAUUUCUAUGCGGCUUGUGGUAAUUUGUGAUGGACUAGUUGGAGCACCCCUGCAGGGUUAAAUCUUUUCGGAAAGCCGUGCCCGCGGUUAUGUGGCAACGUGGAUACUUUGAUUAACACUGGUUCUAGAUAACUUGAAGUUAACUUAAUUAAAAUAUGCCAACUGGGUGCGUAACCGUGACUGUCUCUUUCGUGAGUUCCUUCUCCGAUCGAGGACACGGCGGGGUUAUGUCUGACGUAGGUAGGUGUUCAGGAUCAUGCUUUUGAUCUUCAGUAGUUCACGUCCGUUAUGCGUAGAUCUUCCCCCUCUUAUUUCUGGUACUCGUAAGUUAGCCACCAUAUAUAUACGCUUAGCCGCUGCUGCAACCUCA